rnacentral:rRNA from 1 species
GUACCCCAAACCGACACAGGUGGUCGGGUAGAGAAUACCAAGGCGCUUGAGAGAACUCGGGUGAAGGAACUAGGCAAAAUGGUACCGUAACUUCGGGAGAAGGUACGCUCUCGACGGUGAAGUCCCUCGCGGAUGGAGCUAUUGAGAGUCGCAGAUACCAGGUGGCUGCAACUGUUUAUUAAAAACACAGCACUGUGCAAAAUCGUAAGAUGACGUAUACGGUGUG